UAUAAUAAUGUAUAUACGGAAUAUACAUACAUACAAUAUACAUAUUAUAUACAUAUGUAUAUACUUUGAAUCUUCUAUGUACAUACAUUAAUUCGGUUUCAUUUGCACAUACAUUUCACAUCCAAUACAUUACAUAUAUACAUUACAUUAAGAAAGUAUAUACCUGGAAUAUGUAAUAUACAUAAAUGUAUGUACAAUGUAUGUACUAAGUAUAUUUUUACUAAGUUUAUUUUAUGUUUUGUGGACAUUCUCGGUCUGAAGCAUUCGCAGGUUUUAAUGUGUCGCGGUCCAUAUCGGCGAAUGCCGCUUCAAUAGUGGUUGCCGCUCUCAAUGCGACGUUUGGAUGUCUGAUCUUGUUGGUGACCCUUUCAACCAUGCUCCAAACAUAGAAGUCUUCAGAUAGCCAGUAUGAUAUAAUAAAGAUAUUAGCAUCUUGCUACGCAUUUAUGUCGUCCAUUGUGCUGUUGUUUGCUAGCAUUCGAUCGUCGGAAAUAAAAUUCUUUGCACAUUUCAAACAUUAUGCUAGCAUUACUUAAGAUCAGUGUCGAAUGCUAGCAAAUAACCCAGCAAACACAGAACAUGUUGUAAUAUUGCUGUGAUGUUGCUACAAUGUUAUAACAUUGCCGCAAUGUUGCUGCUAUGUUCUGUGUUUGCUGGGAACAACACAAGGGACGACGUAAAUGCGUAGCAAAAUGCUAACAUCUUUAUUAGUAACAUAAGAACAAUAUGUGCUCAUACAUACAUUUGUGGCUAUCUGGGUCCAAAGGAUUUAAAUAUGGGCUGUUGGGAAGCUAGAAUUUGGACCAAAACAUGUCGACGUUGUCCGACAACCAAUUUUGAACCAAAUGGUGUUGCAAAACCUUUGUUGGACUUCUCCGACUCAUUAUACUUCGCGACGACAUCAUACACAGUCGAUCUCAGGUACCCGAAAAACCGAAUGAUUUCUAUCGCUGAGCGCCCAGCGCGAACACUUUCGAUAAUCGCGGCUCUUUGGUUACACUUCGCACUUGAUUUCAACAUUGCGACUGUUUCGAGAUUAUGACUGUUUAGUACAUGCGUCAAGCUAUUUGGAUGCCAAUCGUGACCACUACAAAUGGUACAGAACGGUGACUUAAAAUUAACACCUCCAGAAACCCACAAAAUUAUUUCCAUCAUAUAAAGGCAUCUCUUCUAGAAAAGCCGAAGAUAUAAAAGGAUUAAAAUGAAUAAUAUGUAACGAUUUACAUUUUAGAAAAAGUAACGGUAAAAGUAAUGCGCGCAUAAAAAAACAACUUUGGUAUUUGUAACAGUGCAGUGAUGUAGAUACUUGUUACAAGAUGCACGUGACUGCAAGUUUCAUUUCGUAUACAAUGGAAAAAUACAUGCAUACAUUGAUUAUUUCACUUUUGCACCUUAUUUACACUUUGUAUAUUAUGUAUUAAAUAUAUACACAUGAUAUUUAACAAUAUAAACAAUAAAAUAUUUUUAUUACAUUGAAAAUACAUAAUAAAUUUAAGGAGAAAAAUACCCUUGACUAAAAAAG